ACUCCUACGGGAGGCAGCAGUGGGGAAUAUUGCACAAUGGGCGCAAGCCUGAUGCAGCCAUGCCGCGUGUGUGAAGAAGGCCUUCGGGUUGUAAAGCACUUUCAGUCGUGAGGAAGGUAGUGUAGUUAAUAGCUGCAUUAUUUGACGUUAGCGACAGAAGAAGCACCGGCUAACUCCGUGCCAGCAGCCGCGGUAAUACGGAGGGUGCGAGCGUUAAUCGGAAUUACUGGGCGUAAAGCGCAUGCAGGUGGUUGUUAAGUCAGAUGUGAAAGCCCGGGGCUCAACCUCGGAAUAGCAUUUGAAACUGGCAGACUAGAGUACUGUAGAGGGGGUUAGAAUUUCAGGUGUAGCGGUGAAAUGCGUAGAGAUCUGAAGGAAUACCGGUGGCGAAGGCGGCCCCUGGACAGAUACUGACACUCAGAUGCGAAAGCGUGGGAGCAAACAGGAUUAGAUACCCCUGGUAGACUGUCA
rnacentral:rRNA from 1 species